rnacentral:misc_RNA from 1 species
UUUCUACCUUCAUUCUUAAGCCUUCCUUCACCCCUUAUCAUAAUCCAUUUUGCUUUUUCCUACUUAUACGCAAUCCUCCCCUUUUUCUUCUUCUUCUUGUUUCUCUUGUGGGUUGUUGCGUAAGUCAAAUUAUAUGUGUUGAAACUAUGGAGGGAUUGAUGGAAAAAGGGGUAUUGGAUGAUAUAAUUGGGAGGUUAUUAGAAGAGAAGGGAGGGAAACAAGUUCAGCUAUCUGAGGCUGAGAUCCGACAGCUUUGUGUGAAUGCCAGACAGAUUUUCCUCUCUCAGCCUAAUCUCCUCAGGAUUCGUGCCCCCGUUAGGAUCUGUGGUGACAUACAUGGGCAAUUCCAAG